GCAGCUAGUUAGGAGUAGUAGGCAAAGAGAAAUUGGGAGGCAUACUGCCAUGCCUUCAAAGCUAUUUGAGUGUGCCAGUUUGGGGGAGAAGAUUACUAUGCUCGAGUUGAUACUCGGUUAUAGGUGAAAUCAAUGGAUCAUGCAUGUCGAAAUGACCAGGGGUGAAUCUAUAGAUUGGCCUCGUGUCUGCUUUUAGGACUGGUUGAUCUUUGCUAGCAUUCUAGCAUAGUCCUCACCACAAUGGAUUAACUACAUCUCAUUAUCCUCAACAUGAUGUGAGGUGUCUCAAGACUAAAUAUUUGUUGUUAAAUUGGUGGUCGUGGAAACUGAAACCAGUGCUCAUGUUGUCUCAUAGUGACUAAGACGUAAUUCCUAAUCUCCAUGCUAUAACCAUAUGUUACAGUACUGCAGCC
rnacentral:lncRNA from 1 species